UGUUUCCCUUGCCUGAGGAGACUGGUCUGAAAAAAUGUUGCUGAGAUUGACAUCAAAGAGCUUACUCCCUGUGUUUCUUUCUAGAAGUUUUAUGGGUUUAUGUUCUUGUGGAAGAUUGAGGGCUGGCCCAGUUUCAAGCUGCCUCCUGCCUCCAGGGAGAUGAUCUAUUCAGGGAAGCGUCAUUCAGCUGAAGAGACCCAUUUCCAGAGCCCUGGUGGACAACCUCGUGCCCCUUCCCCAUCAGCAGCCUCGCCUCAGAGUGCUCACCAGAAGAUUCUCCAAAAGAGAAACCCUACUGCUUGGCCUCAGUUGUCCAUGAAUCCACAAGUGC